GACGAACGCUGGCGGCGUGCUUAACACAUGCAAGUCGAACGGAAAGGCCCCUUUGGGGGUCCUCGAGUGGCGAACGGGUGAGUAACACGUGAGUAACCUGCCCUUGACUUCGGGAUAACUUCAGGAAACUGGGGCUAAUACCGGCUAGGAAUCCUUGCUGCAUGGUGGGGGUUGGAAAGCUUCGGCGGUUUUGGAUGGACUCGCGGCUUAUCAGCUUGUUGGUGGGGUAGUGGCUUACCAAGGCUUUGACGGGUAGCCGGCCUGAGAGGGCGACCGGCCACAUUGGGACUGAGAUACGGCCCAGACUCCUACGGGAGGCAGCAGUGGGGAAUAUUGCACAAUGGGUGGAAGCCUGAUGCAGCAACGCCGCGUGCGGGAUGACGGCCUUCGGGUUGUAAACCGCUUUCAGCAGGGGCGAAGCUUGUGGUGACGGUACCUGCAGAAGAAGCACCGGCUAACUACGUG
rnacentral:rRNA from 1 species